rnacentral:rRNA from 1 species
GACGAACGCUGGCGGCGUGCUUAACACAUGCAAGUCGAACGGAAAGGCCCUGCUUUUGUGGGGUGCUCGAGUGGCGAACGGGUGAGUAACACGUGUGUAACCUGCACUUGACUUUGGGAUAACUUCAGGAAACUGGGGCUAAUACCGGAUAGGAGCUCCUGCUGCAUGGUGGGGGUUGGAAAGUUUCGGCGGUUGGGGAUGGACUCGCGGCUUAUGAGCUUGUUGGUGGGGUAGUGGCUUACCAAGGCUUUGACGGGUAGCCGGCAUGAGAGGGUGACCGGCCACAAUGGGACUGAGAUACGGCCCAGAAGCCUACGGGAGGCAGCAGGGGGGAAUAUUGCAGAAUGGGCGGAAGCCUGAGGCAGCAACGCCGCGUGCGGGAUGCCGGCCUUCGGGUUGUAAACCGCUUUCGCCUGUGACGAAGCGUGAGUGACGGUAAUGGGUAAAGAAGCACCGGCUAACUACGUG